GGUGUCUUUCCUCUUCUCUACGUGUCUCUUCUUUUCCGUCUCUCCCUCUGUGAGUCUUUUUCAUUUCCUUCCAGUUGCUGCAGCCUCCAAGGAGAGCAGCAGAGAAAGACAAGCUUGUGAACUGCUUGAACGACAGAUGAGUGCUGGAGUGGUGUUUUCCCCAUGGCACCAAUAAUCCGGCAGCUUUCAAAAGCCUGUUUCCCCUCCCAGCGUCUCCCUGCCUCGCCUCCCGGCUCUGGCCUUACAGAAGGCAAAGUUGCAGCCUGGUGUUCUGCUUCCUUUCUGCUUACACUCAGGGGAGCCCCUUCCUCCAAGGACCCCCACUUCCUGCCACUUGAGAGCCACUGGAUGCAGUGGAAGAAACAAGAGCAUCAUCAGCACGCUCAGUGCAUCGGAUCAGACCGUGGAGUUGUUGACAGAAGCUUGGCGAGGCUUUGCCAGCUUUCCGCAUGAAAUGCUGGCUUUCUUCUCUUCCACCCCUACCGUUUGUGUGUCUGCCAAUUGUAGCACAUCAGAGCGACCAUUGAGAUAAUGACCGUGAAGUCUCAUGAUACACUUUGAUGAAGUGUAACAUUUUUUAAAGGAUUUUUGUCCGUGCCAAAAUGAUCGAGGCAGCUGACUAAAAAUCACCCCAUCAAAAUCUAGGCUGAUGAACAGCAGGCAGAGGCGUGAGCCUCCCUGGAGAAGAUGGGGGGUGGAUUUUGCAGCCAGAGUCUCUCUCUCUCUCUCUGUUUGUGCACACCACAGCUUCCUUUAUUUAAAAAGGCAUCUUUUGUUUGAGAUGAACAAAUGCGCGUUGCUGAUACUUCAACUUCCAGCAUUUAACAUUUUUUUUUCCUAUGGAAUCCCAGAAGCUGUGGGGGUCUGAGUCCUUUCUGACAGUGCCUUACUAAUGACUGAAAAAAUACGUUAUUAAUAACUUGCUGUUGGUUGGGGAAAGCAUGCUGAGCACUUCACAGGUUUUCAGGCAGAGACUAACCCUAGACUAGUGUUCUAGUAAUUUUGGAUUUCUCUGAUUUGGCCAGGAUCAAGAGGAGGUUACACCAAAGUGGUUCUGAGUCAGUGGAAAACAAAAUCAAGCUGCUAACAACAAAAUGAAGACGGUGGGCUUCGUUGUGAAGAAAAUCGUGUUUGAUUUACUGCCUGAGCUGUCGUGACUACCAUUUCUGAGCACCCAAUGUCAGCAAGGAUAGCACUAGGUCAGUUCGAUGUUCAGAGUCUGACUCUCACAGCACCUCUUCUGCACAGGCGAGCAAACCAAGGCCCCGAGGAAGAAGUUGAGAGCUGCAGAAGCUAAGUAACUUGGCUCAAGCCGAAGAGCUGGGGAGUGAGGCAGGAUCUGACCAUCAACAGGCUGAGGAGAUGCACUCCUCUCUGUCCACGGCCACUUCUCCCACUGUACACCCGAUGCCUCUCAUUAAGUGAUGCUCACUCAGCCAGUGAAGAGGAGACAAUCUGUGAUUGAGUUGGCAAAGGCAGGAAUAAAAUGGACUUGCAGUUUGCAGGGCUUACCUCGCCAACUUUGCAAGGAGGACAUUAGCUACGAUGUGACAUCCUCUCCUAUAAGUUAACGAGUCUGUGCUCAGGAACUGAGUGUUUCAAGUUUGAGAGAAGCUGCAGUUAACCUGUCUGUAUCUGUAGUUUCUCCUAUUGCUCAAGGUGAAAGUUCUGCGUGGGCUUCACCUGUUAGCAGGAAGUGAGGGCUGUGAACUCUAGGACUUCUCAGAAUGGCGACCGAGGUUGCUGCAGAAACCACAAGUGGAAAGGGGCAACUGUUCAAACACCUUCAGAAUCUUUCUCACAUUGUAAGAGUCUAUGCAUAUCCUUGGGAGUGGCAGCAUAUGUCAGAGUGGGGGCUGUGAAGUGGGGAAAGAGUGAGGGGAGCGGAAGCCAGAGUUUAGGAAAUUAUGAUAAACACAUGCUUGUAUUUGAAUGUGCAAAUGAGAUUCCCUUGGGCUGUUCAAAACUGUCUCCAUCUUGUUUCCUUCAGUAAAGUCAAAUAAAAGGUGACAACAGCUCAGACAACAGAAUAAAGACACCAAGGUAAUUUUGUGCAUUUGUUGGAAAGAAUAGACUACAGGAUUUUACUACUCUCUUUCAGAAGAAAGCAUAUUUCAGGAGUCAAGAUGGGUUUGACCCAGUUUGCAUUUAGAUUUAAUUUUACUAAUGCUUUGGGUUUUACAAAGGAGCAGCACCACCAAACCCAAGUUUUGCAGAGCCAUUUAGGUAGCUAAAUUUGGGCAUGUGAGCCCUUGGGAAAGAAAAAGGACAGCAGAGGGUGAAAGAGGCCAGAAGCACAGCUCAGACUUCUCAGCCCAAGGAGCCAGGCAGGAGUUCUAGGUCUCAAUCACAUAGAAACGUGGCUGAUGGACUCAGAGGUUUUCAGAGAAUUCUCAGCCUCCCUUCCAUAUGGACAUGCAUGUUUUAUGAAAGAUGAGUGUUUCACUGGGAGUGUCACCACAGUUCCUUGGCUCAUCUCAAAUAGAAAGCACUGAGACGCCAAAGGGAAAGGCCCUAGUGUGUUUCAUUGAGGAACCUUCGAGUGAGAGAACCACUAAGACCUGUCUGAUUUAAAAAGACGACGCUGCCUAUUGGAGCCCAUCUUCUACUUCCACUUAGCUCAUUUGUAAAAUGAAGGGUUCACAUUCUCCAAAUUCUUCUCAAUACCCAGAAUUUAUAAUUUUGGGAUUCAUUAAGUACAGACUAACACCCUUCGUUUCCACUGAAUCUAAAAGUACUAGGAAACUGAGUCUGUUCAACUUGAUAAAUAAAAGUAUUUGUUUCUUUCCCAGCAUG
ensembl:lincRNA